ensembl:rRNA 5S_rRNA 5S ribosomal RNA
GCUUACAGCCAUAACAGUUGAAGAAUGCCCGAUCUCGUCUGAUCUUGGAAGCUAAGGACGCUUGGGCCUGGUUAGUACUUGGAUCGGAGACUGCCUAAGAAUACCAGGUGCUGUAAGCU